rnacentral:rRNA from 1 species
AUGCCUCGCUACGAUGAGCGUGAUCGUUACGGUGGCAACACAAGGCUGUACGUGGGUCGUCUUCCCUCGCGCACCCGCACAAGGGACCUCGAAGACCUCUUCGGCAGAUAUGGGAGAGUGCGACAUGUGGAUAUGAAGCACGAGUUUGCAUUUGUUGAGUUUAGUGAUCCCAGGGAUGCUGAUGAAGCAAGGUACAAUCUUGAUGGUCGUGACUUUGAUGGAAGCCGCAUGAUUGUUGAGUUUGCUAAAGGGGUUCCGCGUGGCCAAGGAGGAGGAGGUGACCGUGACCGUGGUGGCCGUGGUGGUGACCGUGAAUAUAUGGGUCGGGGACCUCCUCCUGGUUCUGGGCGUUGCUUUAACUGUGGGAUUGAUGGGCAUUGGGCUCGGGACUGCAAAGCUGGCGACUGGAAAAACAGGUGCUAUCGUUGUGGAGAUAGUGGCCACAUAGAAAGGGAUUGUCAGAACAGCCCUAAGAACCUCAAGCGUGGAAAGAGUUACUCCAGAUCUCCAUCUCCUCGCCGCGGAAGGGUGCGUGAUAGGAGCUACAGCAGGAGCCGCAGUAGGAGCUACAGCCGCUCUGUUUCCCCAAGGAGGGAUGAAAGGCGAUCAAGGAGCCCUCGCGACAGUCGCAGCCCAAGGAGGAGCCCCCGUGACAGUCUCAGCCCCAGGAGGAGCCCCCGCAACAGUCGCAGCCCUAUGAAGAGCCCCCGUGGCAGUCGCAGCCCUAUGAGGAGCCCCCGUGACAGUCGCAGCCCUAGGAGGAGUGCUUCACCUGCCAAGGGGAGGGCCCGGAGCCCCACCCCUCCUGGCAGCAGGAGCCCUGCACCAAGGGAUAACAGCAGGAGCCCAAUGAAGGCUGACAGCCCUAAAAACAUGAGCCCAGCUGCCAAUGGUCGUAGCCUGAGCCCCAGGGACGGCGAAGACAAUGGCCACCACCGUGCACCCAGUGGAAGUGCAUCACCCGGUGGUGGUUAG